UGCAAGUCGAACGAAGUUCUCGUUGAUGAUCGGUGCUUGCACCGAGAUUCAACAUGGAACGAGUGGCGGACGGGUGAGUAACACGUGGGUAACCUGCCCUUAAGUGGGGGAUAACAUUUGGAAACAGAUGCUAAUACCGCAUAGAUCCAAGAACCGCAUGGUUCUUGGCUGAAAGAUGGCGUAAGCUAUCGCUUUUGGAUGGACCCGCGGCGUAUUAGCUAGUUGGUGAGGUAAUGGCUCACCAAGGCGAUGAUACGUAGCCGAACUGAGAGGUUGAUCGGCCACAUUGGGACUGAGACACGGCCCAAACUCCUACGGGAGGCAGCAGUAGGGAAUCUUCCACAAUGGACGCAAGUCUGAUGGAGCAACGCCGCGUGAGUGAAGAAGGCUUUCGGGUCGUAAAACUCUGUUGUUGGAGAAGAAUGGUCGGCAGAGUAACUGUUGUCGGCGUGACGGUAUCCAACCAGAAAGCCACGGCUAACUACGUGCCAGCAGCCGCGGUAAUACGUAGGUGGCAAGCGUUAUCCGGAUUUAUUGGGCGUAAAGCGAGCGCAGGCGGUUUUUUAAGUCUGAUGUGAAAGCCCUCGGCUUAACCGAGGAAGCGCAUCGGAAACUGGGAAACUUGAGUGCAGAAGAGGACAGUGGAACUCCAUGUGUAGCGGUGAAAUGCGUAGAUAUAUGGAAGAACACCAGUGGCGAAGGCGGCUGUCUGGUCUGUAACUGACGCUGAGGCUCGAAAGCAUGGGUAGCGAACAGGAUUAGAUACCCUGGUAGUCCAUGCCGUAAACGAUGAAUGCUAGGUGUUGGAGGGUUUCCGCCCUUCAGUGCCGCAGCUAACGCAUUAAGCAUUCCGCCUGGGGAGUACGACCGCAAGGUGA
rnacentral:rRNA from 1 species